rnacentral:rRNA from 1 species
AUGUCUGGGAAACUGCCUGAUGGAGGGGGAUAACUACUGGAAACGGUAGCUAAUACCGCAUAACGUCGCAAGACCAAAGAGGGGGACCUUCGGGCCUCUUGCCAUCGGAUGUGCCCAGAUGGGAUUAGCUAGUAGGUGGGGUAACGGCUCACCUAGGCGACGAUCCCUAGCUGGUCUGAGAGGAUGACCAGCCACACUGGAACUGAGACACGGUCCAGACUCCUACGGGAGGCAGCAGUGGGGAAUAUUGCACAAUGGGCGCAAGCCUGAUGCAGCCAUGCCGCGUGUAUGAAGAAGGCCUUCGGGUUGUAAAGUACUUUCAGCGGGGAGGAAGGGAGUAAAGUUAAUACCUUUGCUCAUUGACGUUACCCGCAGAAGAAGCACCGGCUAACUCCGUGCCAGCAGCCGCGGUAAUACGGAGGGUGCAAGCGUUAAUCGGAAUUACUGGGCGUAAAGCGCACGCAGGCGGUUUGUUAAGUCAGAUGUGAAAUCCCCGGGCUCAACCUGGGAACUGCAUCUGAUACUGGCAAGCUUGAGUCUCGUAGAGGGGGGUAGAAUUCCAGGUGUAGCGGUGAAAUGCGUAGAGAUCUGG